AUGUCUCCUAAAAGGUCGUAUCCUCCGAUCGUAGCUGAUCGUAAACAUUCAAGUUAACGUGUCAAUUUACACCGACUUCUUUCCGUUCCUCUGCGGAUCACAAGAGUUCUAUUUUUUCAGGACGCCGGAGCAUGGCGGAUAAAUUCAGCACAGAUUAACCCGUGCUGGAAAGGAAGUCGGGCACAGACACAAAAUAAAACAUCCGGCUUCUUUUCAAAAUAAAACACUCCGUGUUUCAGGAGGAUCGUAUUUCACACCAUGCAAACGGGCGGAGACGAACAAGUGAAAGGUUUUUAGACGUCAUUUCACCCCGAUGACACCAUGGAUGAGGAGAUGCUGAUUCUAGAAGUCUAGAAGUAGAUUUCCUCCUCUGGAAGGACACAAUCUACUGCUUAUAUGUCUAUGUGGCUGU